GCAAGACAAGACUCUACAUCCUAUCCUAGUGGACAUGACUUUUUCCUAUUGUGCUUGAACUUCUAUAACCUCUAUGAGCCCGACACGCUAGGUCCGACCAUAUGAACCUAGGGCUCUGAUACCACUCUGUAACGCCCCGGAAAUCCGGACCGCUACCGGCGCUAGGAUCCAAAUCGGCGUAAGGCCGCCGGGACCCGUAGCAAGCC
rnacentral:lncRNA from 1 species